CACAGGCAGAGGGAGAAGCAGGCUCCAUGCAGGGAGCCCGACAUGGGACUUGAUCCCAGGUUUCCAGGAUCAGGCCCCGGGCAGAAGGCAGCGCUGAACCAUGGAGCCACCCGGGCUGCCCCUGGAUACAGUAUUGAAUUACCCAGUGUCGUGAGUUUACUAUUUCAGAUUUAACCAAGACAAAUAGCUUACCACAUAUUCCCCUGUAUGAAGGAUUAUCUUUAUCUAAUUACUGAGCCAGACCACCAGGGUCUGGGGCUUGGAAUCAGGCUGGCUUGUUAUUUCCAUGCUUUUCAAGUACCCAUGGCCAAACCCAAGAGGAGGAAAAUAUUAGGGGCAGAAAAUAUAAUGCAAAUGGUGGCUAAAAUAGUCUUUGCUGUGCACAACCGCAGAAUAGAACCCUUCAUUUUAAGUUCCAAAUGCAAGUGAUUCCGAAUCACUUGCGGGAGCUUUUAAAAUAGGAACAUACCUGACUCCAGGAAACCUGAAUUUCAGAGAGUGUGUUCCAGCAGUUUGAAAUCUUACCAAGUUACUCUGUUUUGAAGACCCAAGUAAGAACUCUGCUAAUCCAAGGUGAGUGUUAGGAAAA
rnacentral:lncRNA from 1 species